GCCCAGACUCCUACGGGAGGCAGCAGUGGGGAAUCUUCCGCAAUGGGCGAAAGCCUGACGGAGCAACGCCGCGUGAUCGAAUGAAGGCCUUCGGGUUGUAAAGAUCUGUUGACAGGGACGAAUAAGCCAUGCGAAUAGUUUGGUGUAUGACGGUACCUGUUUAGAAAGCCCCGGCUAACUACGUGCCAGCAGCCGCGGUAAUACGUAGGGGGCAAGCGUUAUCCGGAAUCACUGGGUGUAAAGGGAGCGUAGACGGCUGAGCAAGCCUGAAGUGAAAGGCGGGGGCCCAACCCCCGGACUGCUUUGGGAACUGUACGGCUGGAGUGCAGGAGAGGUAAGUGGAAUUCCUAGUGUAGCGGUGAAAUGCGUAGAUAUUAGGAGGAACACCAGUGGCGAAGGCGGCUUACUGGACUGUAACUGACGUUGAGGCUCGAAAGCGUGGGGAGCAAACAGGAUUAGAUACCCUUGUAGG
rnacentral:rRNA from 1 species